GGGAAAGUGGCUCAAUGGUAGAGCGCUUGCCUCGCAUGCAUGAGGCCCUGGGUUCAAUUCCUCAGCACCA
rfam:Dipodomys ordii contig_8547, whole genome shotgun sequence.